rnacentral:ncRNA from 21 species
CAACUUCAUGGCGAUGGAGUUCGCCCUAACCGCCGCAGCCACGUUGCUGCGUGCUGAUAACUCCUGCCGACAC